CGGUUAAAAAGCUCGUAGUUGGAUCUCGGCAAGUAGAGGGCGGUAUGCUUCGUAGCAUUACUGCCCUAUUACUUGUAGUUUUGCCAGAGGUUCCUGGGUGCUCUUAAUCGAGUGUCUAGGGAUGCUGGCAGGUUUACUUUGAAAAAAUUAGAGUGCUCAAAGCAGGCUAUUACGCUUGAAUAUUCGUGCAUGGAAUAAUAGAAUAGGAAGUUGUUUCUAUUUUGUUGGUUUUCGGAAAUCGACUUAAUGAUUAAUAGGGACAGUCGGGGGCAUUUGUAUUCAAACGACAGAGGUGAAAUUCUUGGACCGUUUGAAGACAAACUACUGCGAAAGCAUUUGCCAAGAAUGUUUUCAUUAAUCAAGAACGAAAGUUAGAGGUUCGAAGGCGAUUAGAUACCGCCCUAGUUCUAACCAUAAACGAUGCCAGCUAGCGAUCUGAGGACGUUUUUUUUGUAGACUCCUCAGGAAGCUUCCGGGAAACCAAAGCGUGUGGGUUCCGGGGGAAGUAUGGUUGCAAAGCUGAAACUUAAAGGAAUUGACGGAAGGGCACCACCAGGAGUGGAGCCUGCGGCUUAAUUUGACUCAACACGGGAAAUCUCACCAGGCCCGGACACUGGAAGGAUUGACAGAUUGAGAGCUCUUUCUCGAUUCGGUGGGUGGUGGUGC
rnacentral:rRNA from 1 species